CCACUUUAAACCCAUCACCCCUUGUCCUGUCACUGCCCUCUCGGGUGAAAAGCCCCUCCCCGGCUCUCCUGGAGCCCCCCAGUAAAGGUUCAGAAUCCCCCACCCGCUCAGGCAGCCUGUGUCGCUGUUUCCUGACAAUACCUCUUACCCGUGCUGAAGCGCCGUAUCAACAGCGUGCAAGGCCAGGCUGUGAAAGAACUGGGCAGGUUGCUGGAGCUGCAGGAUGGUGGUGAUGGGGCGCGGGGCAAAGGCAGGUGCUGGGCUUACACCUGGGAUGAGCUCUAACACGGCACGAGUUUGGAGAGGAAGGAAGAAGGAGAAGAAAUUUAAAAAAUGUGAGUGGCCCAGGGGAAGUGCAGUCCAGUCCCUGCUCCCACGACAGCACCAAGUGUGCCCCAGGCAGCAGGAACCAGCACAUCAGCGGGUGGUGAAGAGCUGCAUGAGUUACCCUUUGUCUGGAGUGGUGCCUUCCAGGGAAAGAAGAAGAACAAAAAAAAACACCUUGGAAAAGA